UUCUGUUGCUUGUUGCCCCUUUUACUGGAGCAUUUACUGCAGAACUUCCCGUGAGUAUACAGAAGGCAAUUCAGGUCAAACUUAAGUUCAUUUGGAAUCCUUUGGUUUAGAUGAAGAUAAUAAUAUAUACAAUGUGGACUGUUGCCUCGGAAUCAGAAACAAGGUGCAGAAGUAGUCAGAAAAUCGGGAAGAGAUCAGUAGAGAAAAUUGAAUGAGAAGAAAACAAUACCAUGCACCAAAGUUCAUAUUCAUAUCAAAUCACAACAAAUGUAUCUAUUUUUUUACAAUGUAUUAGCUUUGCUUGCAUGCACACAUGAGCUUUGAAUAGGAGGAAAACGAUAUUGUUGUUUCAAAAGCAAAAAAAUGGCAUUUAGAUACUCAGGAUAAUAACUUCCAAAAUUUGUUGUAUAUUGCAAUCGUAACACUGAUUCAACAAGAAAUGUGGCAAAAAUUAUACACUUAUACACAUUCUAUUGCUUAA